UGCAUCACAAAUCACCUAACAACCACACCAGGUGGCAUGUUGGAAGACCAGUCUGGUGGAACUUUGUUGCCUUGUGUCCUCCAAUUGUUCACAUGGCUAGCUGCUUUUUGCUACCAUAGAAAAUAUUGUACUUUAUUUAAUCUUAAUAAGGACCCAGAAAACGGAGGCAGUGGGAGAACCUAUUCAAGUUCCUGCAAACAAGCCAUUGUCCACCAGAUAACCAUGUGACAUUCAGGAAAUCUGGUACCAAACAGUAAAAUCUUCACUGUAUGAUUCCAAUUCAGACCUGAUCCUUUGUUUUGCACAUCCAGCAGAAAGGAACAACAUGUGGCUAAGCAGUUUGCUGUGAUCAAGGUUUCACAGGUCUCCUGCCUCAGAUCAGGAAGUAAGCAAGAGGAAGUAAACAAGAGGAAAGUGUUUUUUGCUGUUGGGGGAAGAUUUGUUAUCAUCAAAAUACAUUUAGCAACUGUGUAGAAGUUAUUUUCUACUAUUUAAUAGUAUAGCAGUAGCAGUGGUUUGGCAAAAUGGUAUAGUUGUAUGCACAUCUUGCCCAUGGCUGUUUCUUUCCUUAGAUGUUUUGAGUGUCCUGCUCAUUAGUACAGAUCAGGCACUCACAUUGGCUUUGAAAUAGUUGCCUUGGAAACACCUCAAUUUACAUCUUCUAAAAACACUUUAAAUUGUCUAUUCAAAAAUAAAA